AUUGAACGCUGGCGGCAUGCCUUACACAUGCAAGUCGAACGGCAGCACGGGUGCUUGCACCUGGUGGCGAGUGGCGAACGGGUGAGUAAUACAUCGGAACGUACCUUAUUGUGGGGGAUAACGCAGCGAAAGCUGUGCUAAUACCGCAUACGCCCUGAGGGGGAAAGCAGGGGAGCGAAAGACCUCGCGCGAUUAGAGCGGCCGAUGCCUGAUUAGCUUGUUGGUGGGGUAAAAGCCCACCAAGGCGACGAUCAGUAGCUGGUCUGAGAGGACGAUCAGCCACACUGGGACUGAGACACGGCCCAGACUCCUACGGGAGGCAGCAGUGGGGAAUUUUGGACAAUGGGGGCAACCCUGAUCCAGCAAUGCCGCGUGAGUGAAGAAGGCCUUCGGGUUGUAAAGCUCUUUUGUCAGGGAAGAAACACCGGCUCUAACACAGUCCGGGAAUGACGGUACCUGAAGAAUAAGCACCGGCUAACUACGUGCCAGCAGCCGCAGUAA
rnacentral:rRNA from 1 species